rnacentral:lncRNA from 1 species
AAUGCUAUUGCUCUAGGUUUGCAUACAACUACAUUGAUUUUAGUAAAGGGUGCUUUAGAUGCACGCGGUUCCAAAUUAAUGCCGGAUAAAAAGGAUUUCGGGUAUAGUUUUCCUUGCGACGGCCCACGACGCGGCGGUACUUGUGAUAUUUCUGCUUGGGACGCGUUUUAUUUGGCAGUUUUCUGGAUGUUAAAUACCAUUGGAUGGGUUACUUUUUACACAAACCACGAGAGUUUUUCCUCCUAUUUUUUUAUUUCACUUGUCGAAUCUUGCAUCACUAUUACCUAUUCUAGAUUCGAGUUUGUUAGCGUUCCUAAUAGAUAGGAUACGAUUGUAACAGAUCAGUACUAGAUUAGAUCUAUCAUGUAACAAAUUUAGGUUCGAGUUUGUUAGAGUUCAUAAUAAAUAGGAUAUGGUUGUAACAGAUAAUGUACCAGAUUAGAUCUAUCAUGUAACCACCCACCUCCCAGCUUAUAUAAAUACAUGCCACCAUAACACCUCAAGCCAUCAAUCAAAGACUCAUCUCAUCCAUAGCCUCGCAGCAGCCACCGCUCGCCGGUGGGCCUGCCACCGUGGGUAGGAUGCCGCAGCCCCGUUCCGACAUGAACAGGAUCGUGCGGGGGGAGAAACGGCCCUAGCCGUCGAUGCGGUGAUGAACGCUCACGAUUGAAUCUCAAAUACCCCAUCGUGAUUGAAAAUCAUAGCCGUUGAUCUCGGAUCUGUUGGUCGAGUUCAGAUCGUGGGAUCCUUUAAUCUCGAGCAUUGUUUUUAGAUCCGACCACUAUGAUAGAAUGCCGGUUCAUGUGAGAUAAGUCUCUGAUCCCUGCCGUCGGAUUUGGAUCCCACGACUAGCAAUCCACCGUGCCCCUUCGCCAUGUCCAUCUUUAUAAAGAGGCCCUCGGGUUUCUUUCAAAUCAACCUGCCAUCCGACCAGUUAGGAAAUAAUUAAAACCGAGUCCCCAAUAUUUAUGAAUUUAACCCCAAGUUUUCAGGAAUUAAUGCCCGCAGCCCAGAGGUUAAAUAAAAUGAGUAAAUUAUUUCAGAAAAUGUUUUCUAGUAUAGAAAUAAUUCCAUAAACUUGUGUAUUUCAUAAAUAAUUCAUUUUAAUUCCUUUUUGAUCAAUUCCAGUUGCAUUAAUCUCAUAUUAAUAUUGUUUAUCAUCUAGUAACCAUUACUAUAAAACCUAUGAUUAAAAUCUUGUACCUCCUUUGUUUUAUAAUAGACACUUAAAACUUCAGAAAAUCAUAACUUUAUAACUGUAACUCCGAAUUUAGUGAUUCCUGAACCUACGACCUCGUAGCAGCGGAUAGAAUAUUCUUACGUUAUUUGUUCUCAUGUUUGGUGUAAUGUUAUUUUUAUGUUCUCAUUGUUCAUUUGUAUGUAUUGUUAUGAAUAGAAGUGAGGUCAUGAGUCACUUGAAGACCAAGUUGGUGAAGUACCUGGAAAUCUCGAGUCUAAGGCAAGUUGUGGCCUUGAUCACUUUUCUCUUUACCUAAUAAUGUUCCAAUUAAUCACUGUAACAUGCUCAGGUUAAUUUAAUGGGACCUAAUAGGUUUCCCUAGCAUUUUUUAUCUCACACCUUGCAGACAAAAGAACUAUUGGGUAGUGUCUCUAUUGCUCUACCUAGUUUUGAGAAAUUAAUGUUAUAUUAUGAUCAUGUUCUAGUUAUGCUGUUGUUUUAAUUAUUGUUAAUGACAAGAUCAUUGUGUUAAUUGGAACAUGGAGCUUAACUUGAGAUAUUCGUGCUACCACAUGGGUGGAAUGGGACGUCCUUGGCUGACUAAUUAGUAAAGCUAGUGGAGGACUACCUUACCUGAAAGGGGCAAGGGCGGUAGAGGAGCUGCGUAUAGGGAGGUUCUCGGGUCGAUCAGGCUGCGAUGGCUUUUCGAAUGAGGGAUUCCUAUAUUUCCCUUUUUAGAAACCGUAGCGGGUUUUCUGAAGCUUGUGGAACUUUGUAAAGGCCUCGUAGUGGAUCCCUAGCCAUUCACCUUGGAAGUGUCUAAGGGCCUUGCAAACCCUGGCUAGACGGGAUACACGAUUUAUGGGUAAAGGGUGCAACCUCUGCAGAGCGUAAAACUGGUAUAUCGCCGUGCUCACAGUCAAGACCGACUUAGGACUCUCGCAUGAUUAAUCUAUAGAACUAAACUUAAUCUGUCAUAUGUAUUGCAUUAUGGGUUUUGUUAUUAAUUGUGAUCUCUUACUUAAUUGGGUUGGUAUAUACUUAUAUCUAGUAAUUGCUAAUAAAAUUUUGACCAACUUUAAAAGCAAUGCUCAACUUUAACCAUCUCCCUUGGUAAGCUUUACACUUCACGUGGGCUCCCACCUUUGGUGAGUUCAUGCACAUAAUUCCCCACAACUUGUUGAGCGAUGAACGUAUGUGAGCUCACCCUUCUGUACUCACAUCCCCCCAGGUCAAGAACAGGUACCAUAGGAUGAGGCGCAUGAAGGAUGCUGUCAUGAGUUCGUGAGUGGUCUAGGCCAUGAUCUCCCAGUCAACUUUGGGUUGCUGGAUCAUUGUCUUCAUAUGAUGUAAUUAUUUAACUAUUUUGUACAGAACUCUGUUAUAUAUAUAUUAAUGAUGCUACAUUCAUUUUUGUACCAUGAAUCAUCAUAUGUGUGAUACUUGAUCCCAACACACUUGGUAAAGUUCGCGCCUAGGUUUGGUGUCCCUAAAACCUGGGUGUGACAAGACUAAAUGUUGCCUAGGCUGAUUCACUGUCUAGAGUUCUACAUACUAGUGCUUACUGGACUGAAUGUUGCAUAAUGUUGCGUGGAUUGAUUCACUGCCUGAACUGAAUGUUCUGAAUCAAGUCAGUUAGUAGGAAUGCCAAGCUAUGUCUGCCAAAAUGUCUAUGCAAGAGGGAUCUCAAGUUGGCCAAGAUUUUUCAAGCAAUGGAGGUGGUGAGCAGUUGUCAAGGAAGCACCUUCAAUAGAAAUACUCACAAGAUUGCUAACUGUUAAUGGGGGCUUGGUUCCAGAGUCGUCGAUGAUGCCUGUAUUAGGCAUGAAUUUUCAUAUCCUGAAGCAACUAAAAAUUAAUUUGCUUGAUGUAGAAGCACCUUUGCCCGAGGAAGUAUGAUUCAGUUACUGAUUAAUCAUGUCUAUUCUCUUUUAGGUGGUAUUGGCAAUCAACUUCUUGCACAUCAUGAUAAAAUCAUCUCAUCAUAAGCAUACAAAAGCAUCUUCUCAUAAGCAUACAAAAUUAUCUCAUCAUAACCAUACAAAAGCAUCUCAUCAUAAGCAUACAAAAUCAUCUCAUCAUAAGCAUACAAAAGCAUACAUUAAGUCUCACAUAGACAACAUUAAAUAGGUAACCUUACAUGAAGUCUGACAUUGACUACCUUACUACAAGUUGCAUUUGAACCUUACUACAAUUUGAGCUUAUCCUCACUACAAGGAGACACAUAGACGACCUUACACAACCAACCUUACUACAAGUAGCACAUAGAUCAUGAAGCCUUAAUUAAUAGACAUCGCAAAAGAGGAGUCACAUGAUACGAUCCCACGACUUGUCUACAUCCCAACCAAUAUUGUCGGAAAUCCCAACCAUGUUAUGAAAUUCAAUGUUCUCCUGUUCAUGUUGUUCCUAAAAAUCUAAUUCCACAAACUCUUCGAAUCAAACUCAUCGUCAUCUUCGAUUUAACCAUCUUCUGAGUAACCAUACUCUGAAGUCUCAACCAAAUCAGCAGAGUCAAAGACCACCGACGAAUUACUAUUUGAUAAAUCUUGUUUGUAAAUUAAACAAGUCUGCUCAACCAUGUUACUGAUAUGGUCAAUGUGAUUCACAACCUUUUCCAUCUUGCGACCUUCAACUUGAAAGGCAGUGGAACACAACCUAGUCACUUAUGUAACAUAGAUGUUUGGCGCCUCAUCUCUUGUAUGGCAUAUCACAAAUAAUUCCUAAUCUUCACAUGAAUGUAGUAAUUCGCUCUAUGUUAUAAUAAAAUGGAAUGAGAUUUCUAUUCAUGUGUGUAGUUUGACUGAACAAUAAAAAAUCGUAAGCUAUCGAAACAAAAUCUCACAAAAUCCCUAACCACAACCGAAGAUCUCAAAGAACAAUUAUCGGAGUAAUACCUCACUUGCCAUCGCGACUAGUUCUAGUAGGCCAUCGGUGUUUGCGUACUCCACGAUGUCAUUCUCUACAGUAGCCGUGGCAUGGGGUGCCUUUGUCCACAGCGAUGGCGGCAACCUUGACUGAAGCCACGACCUUCUGCUACUCCACGCAUGCCGUGUUGCGCGCUUCCUCAGCAACAAGUGCAGCAGCAAUAGUGGCCUUGCGAGCAUUGACGGCAGCAGAGCAUCUCAUCAGUGAGGAACAGAGGCAACGAGCUGCUCACUCUCGGAUGGGAAGGUGGGGAACACGAAUACAAUGACAUAUAGGGGAGGGAGGUAUCGGGAGAGAUAGUGGAGAUCUAGAUGGAGUGGAGGAUUGACGAUGUUUUCAGCUCGCCAUCCGUGUGGACGCGCUCAACUUCUAAUGACCGAUGUUCCAUGCGUGAUGGUUAAUAGUUUCCAUUCUACAAGUUUGAGCCUCUAUUUUGUUUCCAUUUUGACAUUUUGAUAGAUAUCGCGUCUCUUAUGCUAUUCUAGUAGAGCAUAUACUGUCACGGUUAAUGUCAAACGAGGAGUUCACUCCAGUGACUUUUGAUCUUGUCUUUUUUGUUUAAAUGCUGAUGACGUGAAUCUUCGAGGAGAAGCCGAGGCGAAUGCAGUUGUCGGCGUUGGUGUAGCAAAGUUUACGAAUGUCGUUGAGUGGAGACGUGAAGCUUUAAGGAGACGUUGAGGCGAACAAUGUUACAGGCGUUGGCGCGACAAAGUUUAUGGAUGUUGAGUGAAGAUCGAACGGACGAAAUCAUUUCAGAUGACGUGGCGUAACCAGGUGAGUUGUUUGCUCCCGCGGUUAAUAAUAGUAAAAUUUUGAUCCAAAGACCCACCAUACAUAUAAUAGGUAUGAGACAAAUUUUUUUGUCAUUUCUAAAUGAUAGCUGAUAAAAUAUUAUGUCAGUGACUGAUCACUCUGUCAUACUAGAUGACAAAGGGACAAAAAAAUUAAAUCUCCCGAAAUACAACAUUAUAAAAUGGUUUUGCAUUGGAACGCACCAAACAGAAAAAAAUUAUGUACAUCCACUUUCUUUAACAGCUCAUCAUAUUCAUCACUUAGCUCAUUACAUUCAUCACUUAGAGGGUUAAAAAAAUAAAAAUUUAUAACUUAAUAUAUCAAUAAUUUAUUUUUCUUCUAUUUAUAUGACAGCAAUGAGUGUACUUUGCAUUCGGCUGCAAACAAUUUUUUCCCCAGAACCUCAGCCUUCCGACAUCACCGCCGACGCCAUGGCCGGCUCUCCCCGCCACCUCUCCCUCUUUCCCCUGCGCCUCCUGUUACUUCUUCCGCUGCUCGCUGCGGGUAAACCCGUCCUCGAGGACGGUUACACGGUCACCACCUUCGCCGACCUCAACCCGCUCCCGGCCUCCGGGCCACACCCCUACGCAGUCCUCCCGCGGUCCCGCGCCGGCGACCUCCUCCUCCUCGACUCCGCCGGCUCCGCGCUCUACACUAUCUCCCUCUCCUCCUCCCCCGGCGAGCCGCGCAGGCUGGCAGGGGGCAAACGAGGCUCCGGGUUCAACGACGGCGGGCCCGGCGACGCCGCCUUUGACCGCCCGCGCAGCGUCGCCGUCGAUGCCGCCGACAACGUAUACGUCGCCGACCGCCUCCAUGGUGCCGUCCGCAAGGUCGCGCCCUCCGGUGAGCGAACCCGCGCGUCCCCUCCUCCGUGCUUCUUUUGUUCCCCUGUGUCAUGGAUCAAGGGGUGAAUCAGUAAGGAAUAGUAAGAUUCAGUAUGAUUCUUUGUUUCUUUUGCAUAUAAAUGGAUGGAUGUAAGCACCAUCAGAGAACGAUUACGAAAUGAAUAAACCAGUUACAAAUCAAACUUAUCUUUGAGUUCCCUGUUGAGCGUUUUCUGUUGCUGGCGAGCUCUUCACCCCGUGGGCGCUCACCGCUGGUCAGGAGGAGGCGUCUCCGUGUUCAUCCUGGACACAUUUGGAUCCAGGCGGCUUGGCAUCUUGGUGCAUCAGGUGUCACACCCUGCUAGCGGUUCCUUGGUGAGGUCGUCAGUUAGGGUUUAGGGUUUGGUGGAUGUGAAGCGGGGAGUGGGACUAGGUGAUCGGCCCCCUAGUGGCUGAAGCGACACAUUUAUGUUACCUUUGGAGUGUUUUUUUUUACAAAAUGCCUCUCGAACGCUUUCGUAGUAAGGUUCGGUUGGGAUGUUCAUGUCGUUGAUUGAAAUUUUGCUCACGUGUUCUCACUCCAAAUUUUAUAUGUUUUUUUACUUAUCUACAAAUAAUUUAUAGAUGCGAUAUGUAUGUUGAAUUUCAUGUUUUUACCCUUAAAUUACAUCGAGAUAAAUUGGUAAAUUCACCAAAACUUGGUUCAGAGCAGUCCAAACCCUUGUAUGUUUCACCCCUAAAACAUAUUCCCUCCAUUCUUUUUUUUAUUUGUCGCGUUUUAGUUCAAAAAAUGAACUAGCGGGCGUCAAAUAUUGAAGAACGGACGUAGUAUAAUUUUACCAUCUCACUAGUUGGCAAGCUAAGGCAAUGGUAUUCUACUGCUUGGUAUUUGGUUUUUGUUGUUUCCUACCUACUCAUGACUGUUAAAUAUCUGUUUUUAGUGGUGCCAUGCAGAGUUAAUCAUGCCUGACAAUUUAUAAUAACUACUUGGAAAGAAAAGAUAAUUAUGUGCUGGCCAAUAGCAUUACCUUGCUCCUGAUUUUUUGCUACAAAUUUGUCAUUGCUAGGUUACACUACUACAAUUGCUGGAGGGUUCUCAUCAGGGCCUGGUCACAGGGAUGGACCAGCACAGAAUGCUACUUUCUCGCCAGAUUUUGCACUUGUUUAUGUCCCGAAGAUUUGUGCCUUGUUAGUAGCUGACAGAGGAAAUCGAAUGGUUAGACAAAUUAAUCUAAAGCCAGAAGAUUGUGCACAUGAAAAACAAUCAGGUAAAUACUGAAUGGGCCUCCAACUUGCUGUAUAGGCACCGUAACUUAGUAUCUUACUCGUGUCUAGUGCUUAAGUUAUUGUGUUUUACCAUGGCCACUUGUUUUGUCAAUAAAAUCUGUGUUGUGGUAUCACUGUCUUUCAAUUUACAAAUUUCACGCAUAGCCUGAGAUGUGCAGAAAGGCUUUGUAGAAUGUGCUGAUUCUUCCAGUGUGUAUAAGUAGCUUCUUUGAUAUGUACAUUGCCUUAUCUGGAUAUGCAUUAAGGCAUUGGUCCAUCAUUUAACUUAUAUUUUAGACACUUGGAGAUUCAAUUAUGACAACUCUAUUUUUUUUCCUUAUCUCCUUGUAUUCCUGGGCUCAAAACAUUUUCAUCUACAGUCUGUUAGCGAUGCCUGGACAGUGUUUUAAUAGUGAUAGCGAUAUGACGUUCUGUGGACUCCCUGCUCCAUUUUUGUUGGAGAAAUCGUAAACAUAUACUACAGUGAAUGGCCUACGUAGUGGCUGGUCUUGCGAACGGUUUGUUUGUGAAAGCUGUGAUUAUCGCACUGCUGAUGCUUAGCUCAUGAAUUUGCAGGCUUGGGAAAUACAUUGGUGUCGUUCAUUGCAGUAUUGUGUACAUUGCUCGGUUCAUUGAUCGGAUUCUUAGCUCGUCAUUUUUACCCUGUCAAUGUGAGUAUGCUUCUGAGUCAAUUAUUAAGUCAAGGGGAUGAAUACAUGCACAAAUUAAGACAGUGCAAUCUAAAACAUAUAGGCAGGAAGUCUCCGUCAACCACUUUUUCAGCAGGAUACGGAAGCAAUUCCUGAGGACACAGAGGAAGGCAACUCCGAUCAGCUUCUGCGACAUAAAAAGCGCAGUUGCUAGCUUCGUGCCCUACACCCUCCUGCUGAAACUAGUAAGACUUGGUUCCGGUUAUCUACACGUGAUGUUAUCUAGUGUUAGGUUACAGCAAGAAGUUCACCGAAAGCCUUCUCGUCGACCUGAGUUACACAAGACCAUCAAUGCUCCUAACAUUGGUCUUAACAACAAAGCUCCCGUUCCUCCUACUGAGCAACUGGGUGAUCUGAUAAGCUUUGCCGGAGAUGCUGGUGUUAAGGAGGAUAGUGGUAAUGCCGAUAGUCAGGAGGGUAAGGUGUCAUCCUAUCAUGGUGACUUGAUGGGGCUUCCCUACACCCCACCGUGCAGCGUUAAGAAAAUUGAUCACAUGAUAGAGGCCAACCUAUCGAGCUUUUCAAGUCACGAGAAACGUUGUAGAUUAACUGUUAGUGGUUGUAGUGUAAGCAGGAGGGUGCAUGGAGACAAAUAAGAGGGUGUUUGGUUUGAUCAUGACAUGUAAUGUUACCCUGGGCAUUGUGGGUUCGUGUGAUGAUGCCUAAGAAUUCUGUUCUGGCAUAACAGCUUUGUAGCAAACCCAAUUACUCCAUAAUGUUCUCUUAUUGCAUGGUUGAUGGAGUUCUUAUGGAUGAUUGAUCCUGUCUAAAGCUUAUAUUGCUUAAGGGAUUGAGUUUUUGUUGGCAGAGCUCCUCUGGUCUGCUCCAGUCGGCUCUGGUGGCCCUAGUACCUUUGUGUACUGUAGGCAGAAGUUAUUUUUAUAUCGUCUAUUGAAAUAGACAGACUAAACAUGUCUGCUUGUUGCAACUGAUCCAUCCAAUACAUCGUUGAUAAUCGCUAGAUGCGAGUUAGGACCUGUUUGAUUUCAUUAGUUUUAAGACUAAAGUUCCUAUCCUGUUUGGUUUAGAACUAAAGUUUAGUCUAGUCCCUACCCUGUUAUCCUAUUUGGUUAUUUGGUUGUAAAGACUAAAUAUAUUCUAAAUACAUUAAAUUCAACAUAUAAAGACCUAAAUACCUCUUUUCUUGUUUCCUAUGUAUGACUUCAGUUUUCUAAGCAAGUGUAAUUAGAGUAAAUAUUGUCCUUUAAUCCCUUUUAGCACCUAUGUGAGGGACUACAGACUAACGUUAAUUAGUCCCUAAUUUAGUCUUGUUGGGCAAAAUAGGAAUUAAAUGAGACUAAACACCAUGGACUAAAGAUUAGUUUUGGUAGUUAUGAGACUAAAGUUUAAUCCCUGCUUUGUUUGGUUUUAAAGACUAAAGUAAACAUUAAGGGACUAAUUGUUUAUCUUUGAAUGACUAAAGUAAAUUUUAAAUUAUUGAAUGUUUUUUCUUGAAAUUUUUUAAACCUUAAAUGAAUAAAUAUUUGUUCCUGCUAUACAUAAAAGUAAACCUUGAAUGACCGAAUAAAUCGUGAAUGGCUGAAUAUUUGUUGGUGUGUGCUACGGGGUGGCGGUGGGCGGAUUAGUCUUUUUAAUUACGUGUGGAUCUGAUCGACUGAUGUGGUUGGUUCCCUGAUCUGUUUUAUUUCUUAAUGCGUUACCUGGUGGGCUAGUCCGAUUGGACCUUUUGGUUAAGGUAAUGGACCAUGUGUUCUAUCACCCUAGGUGAUGAUUAGCGUUUGUGUAUAUAUAGGGCAACAUUAUUCAUCAUCCUAGUCAGUAAUGACUGAAUACUACUCAGUCAUUUCACGAUUAUAAUUGAAAAUCGCUCAGGUAUUUCUGGUAAUGACUCAGUCGUUAUCGUCCAGGUGAAGCUUCACAUAGGGUGAUGAAUAGCAUGGUACCCACACAUGCACCCGCACGAGCGCUCACAUACUAUGUGGUGAUCACCCACCAUGGAAUGGCUUAAUAAAUUUUCAUUAAUUGUUAAAGCUAGUCUAGGGUGAGUGAUCAUCAUCUAUGGUGAUAAAUAGCGUUUUUGAUAGAGGGUGAGGCCCAAUCUUCCGAGAGGUACAAUAACUUUAUUAGGUGGAGAUCUCGACAUUGAUGAUCCAAGGCUCCAAACGAACGGGUCGUCGCAAUCACUAGACCACUGCUUCAUUGGUUGUCACUCGUGACACACGAGUGACCUCGCCACGAAGGCUUAUCCCUACAAUCGCAAUCAAGAACACAAGCAAGAACAGGAAAUACACAAUUUAAACUAUAUUGAUCUUGAGGUGGGGUCUCACAAAUCGAUGAACGAUGAUUUUGUUUGAUGACAAAAAUGAUCUAAGAAAGACCCCACCCUAAUGGUGGCGACUACUGAUCAUAAUAUAGGGGUUAGGGGCGUGCAAGACUCCUGGACGCGCCCCUAAUGGGCUCCAACGCAUUAUAUGGGCCAACAACCCAACAGAUGGUGUCGCAGCACCAGAAUGUGGACGCUGACUUGUUUCGACGAUUCCCGUUGACUCUGGAUGAAUUUUAAGUCGGGACCAGUUGUGUUGGAUAGCUUUUCUCAGCUUUCCAACCGUAUCAAGUCCGACCCAAAUGGAGUUUGGAUGCAUCCUAGGCGUCCGUUUUAGUGCAGACUGGUCCUAGAACUCGAGAUGGAAUCGCAGUUCAGUUAGACUUAUCUCAUUCAUGUUGUGGAUGCCCUUACUUCUCCUAGACACCUUGGCCUUUCACAAGUCCUUGCUAGUCCUCUCCAAACAUCCUAAUCAUUAAAACAUCCAUGUUAUGAAGCGUAAGCUUUAAAACACAAUUGACUAGGUUAGAAUGAACUUAGAGAUUUAAUUGUCGUGCACGUGAUCGUGUUAUCGGACCAUGUAUUGUAUGUAUAAGAGUGAUAUCCUCAUCAUCCUCCUCCUGUUCAAUUGAGUCAUCCUCGACUCGAGCUCAUCUUCCUCACCCAUAUAUGGCUUCAAAUCUGAAAUGUUAAAGGUGGGACUAACCCCAAAAUCUAGAGGCAACUCAAGUGUAUAUGCAUUGUCGGCGUUUUGGACCCGCGAGGACCCUCAACCGACCAGUGAAUUUGUCGCUGCGUGUCCCUGUAAGUGCAAUCAACCCUAAUUGAGGGUUUUGGUGAUUAAUGACAAAACAAACUAAGAUUCUAACAAGUUUGCUCCUAGUAUGUACACAGUAUUUCUACAGACAGGAGAAGCACAGAUCCUACGAGCAUAAAAGUAUAAAGCACAGCGGAUUUAAAAUUCCACAUCAAAUGGCGUGCUCCAAGUGCUAUGAAACAACGGCAGUGCUAAGUUUAUAAUUCUUGAGUCAUAGGAAUCGUCGUACAAUUAAGAGGGAUCCGCGACGGUUAAGUAAGUUGUGAAACGAGCCAAGUUCAAUUCUUUUGAAAACUCCUUUGAGAUCAUUUUUCCCAGAUCAUGAAUGCUCUUGAGAAAAACAAAUUUCACUUCCCACAAAGUCUCCCCCUUUGUUCUCUUCAAAAUUCUCAAAGUUUGGUUUCAGCCCCCAAAACCGGUUCAACCGGUCCUGAAACCGGUUCAACCGGUUUCGGUACUGUUCAUCCUGCCACCUCUGCUCUGACCUAUCUGACAGUCAGAGCUGUCAGAAAAGUCGCAGCAGAUAUUUUUCAGAAACCGGUUGAGCCGAAUUUGUCCCUACUCAGCCGGUUUUAAAACCGGUCCAGUGUCCGGCUGAGUAGACCAGUGGACCGGGAUCUCCCUGGCAGAAACCGGUUCAACCGGUUUUAAAACCGGUUCAACCGGUUUUUGUCCAUUUUCUCCCAACGGCUGCCAGCUUUUGGGGGAUCCUUUAUAUACCCCCUCACACUCUCUCUCUCAUUUACUUCUGCCUCUCCCACGAAUCUUUGGCUGACCAACCCUCAAACAAGAGCAUUCACUUCACCUCUCACACCCGCAAUCGCAUCUCCUUCAAUCAUUUGAAGGACCCUUGGUGUGAGGUGAACUCGAUCGAACUCGCUGUCAAUUUCAUCUCGAUUCUCCCAUUCUCUUGUUCUUGAGCUCGUUGCAAACUUAACCGUGUGCGGAUUUGUUACUCUUGGAACCUCGUGUUCCUUGACGGUUAGAGGUUGCUUGGGAGUCUCCAAAUUUGUGGACGACCCCAAGAAGUUUGUAUCACCCGCUCCUUGAGCAGAUUUGAGAAGAGAUUGCCUUGACCUUUGUGGUCGGCUUGUGGAGGAUUAGGGUUGGAAAAGACCCGGCCCUUUGUGGGUUCCUCAACGAGGAGUAGGACACCUUUGUGGUGGUUGCCGAACCUCGGGUUAUAUCGCGUGUUCUUGUGUGUUCUUGUUAAGCGCUUCAUAUUCGGUGGUUGGUUCAUAUUAUUCAUUUAAGUAGUUCUUGUGUAGGGCAAAUCUUUAGUUAUUUUCUUUACUACUUCGCAUUUGUUCAAUAGAUUAUUAAAUUUAAGUUGAGUGGGUUCAAACUUGUUCAGUUGUGAUUAAAAUCGACUGAACCGGUUUGCACCUGUGCAACUUUAAUUUAACCUAUUUCGAAGUUUUUAGUGAAAAUUUUCAGGUGUAGCCUAUUCACCCCCCUCUAGGCUACUUUCAAUUGGUAUCAAAGCUUCGUGCCUCGUUUUACGCUUAACCGCGUGAGGAAACGAUCAUGUCUACACAACGGGACCAUGUGGAUCCUCUCCUCGAGGAAAUCCCCGUCACAUCUUCCGGUGAGGAAGUGGACCCCAAGGUCCUCGACCUCGCCAUGAAGAUUGCCGAGAAAAUGUUCCUCAAAAUGAAAGAGGAAGAUGCUAGGAAAAAGGCCGAAGAAGAGGAAUCAAGAAGAAAGGCCGAAGAAGAUAAAGGUAAGGGAACAUUUGAUUAUAAUGACGAUCUAGUGGAUCUUUUGGUGUCUAAGGUAUUGAGCAAAGUAAGUCUCAACACCGAAGGAUCAUCUACCAAAAGCAAAGGUAAUGACUUUAGCAAAGUUCAAUUCGAUUACUCUAGAAAUUAUAUUCCCAACUUCUCUUCCGCCCCACUUGGAAAGUUACCAACUCUUAGUGAGUUGAACUAUGAUGAGUGGGCCGACAAGAUGAAGUCGCAUUUAAUCGGUGUGCAUCCUAGUCUUUGGGAGAUUGUUAAUGUAGGUAUGUAUAAGCCCGCCCAAGGAGAAGAGAUGACUCCGGAAAUGAUGCAAGAGGUUCAUCGAAAUGCUCAAGCAGUGAGCAUAAUUAAAGGAAGUCUUUGUCCGAAAGAAUACCGGAAAGUUCAAGGAAGAGAAGAUGCUCGUGACAUUUGGAAUAUUCUUAGAAUGUCACAUGAAGGAGAUCCCAAAGCUAAAAGACAUAGAGUUGAAGCUUUGGAAAGUGAGCUUGCAAGAUAUGAUUGGACAAAGGGUGAGUCGCUCCAAUCACUCUUUGAUCGAUUGAUGGUAUUGGUCAACAAAAUAAGAGUUCUUGGGAGUGAAGAUUGGAGUGACUCCAAGGUCACAAGAUUGUUCAUGAGAGCUUAUAAAGAGAAGGAUAAAAGUCUUGCAAGGAUGAUAAGGGAUCGUGAUGAUUAUGAGGACAUGACGCCUCAUCAAUUAUUUGCAAAAAUUCAACAACACGACUCCGAAGAAGCCCCCAUCAAGACAAGAGACUCUCAUGCCUUGAUCACAAAUGAACAAGACAAUCUCAAGAAGAGCAAAGACCACAAAGCAAAGAAAGUGGUCGAGACCUCAAGUGAUGAAGAUAGCUCAAGUGAUGAAGACACAGCUAUGUUCAUCAAAACUUUCAAGAAAUUUGUAAGGAAGAAUGACAAGUUCCAAAGGAAAGGAAAGAAGAGGGCAUGCUAUGAAUGUGGCCAAACCGGUCAUUUGAUAGCGGAUUGUCCUAACAAGAAGGAACAAGAAGCCAAGAAGGAAUACAAGAAGGAUAAGUUUAAAAAGGGAGGCAAGACCAAGGGAUACUUCAAGAAGAAGAAGUAUGGACAAGCUCAUAUUGGUGAAGAAUGGAACUCCGAUGAUGAGAGUUCUAGCUCCGAGGAAGAGGAAGUGGUGGCAAAUGUGGCCAUCCAAUCUACAUCAAGCGCGCAACUCUUCACCAACCUUCAAGAUGACUCCUACACUCCAACUUGCCUCAUGGCAAAGGGAGAUAAGGUAACUUUAUUUAGUAAUGAUUUUUCAAAUGAUGAUGAUGAUGAUCAAAUUGCCAUGAAAAAUAAAAUGAUUAAAGAAUUUGGCUUAAAUGGAUACAAUGUUAUCACAAAAUUAAUGGAAAAGCUAGAUAAAAGAAAAGCAACUCUUGAUGCUCAAGAAGACUUGCUUAUCCUUGAAAAGGAAAGAAACCUAGAGCUUCAAGAGUUGAUUCACAAUAAAGAUAAAGAAGUAAUUAACUUGAAAACCUCUAUUGAUAACCUUGCAAAUAGAAAGAAUGCACUUGAAUCAAGCAUGUUAAGCUUGAAUGUUCAAAAUCAAGAACUUCAAGUGCAACUUGAAAAUUGCAAGAACAUCAAUGCCCCCACUUUAGUAUUUGAAUCUAAGUCUAGCUCUAAUGAUGAUUCUUGCAAGCAUUGUGCCAAAUAUCAUGCUUCUUGUUGUCUAACUAACCAUGCAAGGAAGCAUAGCCCACAGGUGAAGGUCAAAGAAAUUUUGAAAAGAUGCUCUAGCAAUGAUGGGUUAAAGAAAGUUGAACCCAAGUACAAGUCCCUUAAGCCCAACAAUGGUAGAAGGGGGCUUGGGUUCAACUCAUCCAAGGAAAACCCUAGCACAGUGCAAAAGGGGUGGAGAUCCCCCAAGUUCAUAGAGGGAACCACUCUAUAUGAUGCCUUGGGGAGGAUCCACUCCUCAAAUGACAAGUCAUCUCAGGUAAAGGUUAACUUGAGUUCCACAAAGAGUAAGAUGAAGGAAGUGGGAUCCUCAGUGGACAAAAAUCUAAUGCUCCCAUUUCCCACUCAUAUCUUUGUGAUUAUAUGUUGACUUGGGAUUCAGGGAAAUUGGUUGUGAAAUAUGUGGGUGCCUACACUAAACAAAAAGUCAUGAAAAGAAGUGUGUGGGUACCCAAGGCUAUAACUAACACUGUAGGACCCAAUUCAAUUUGGGUACCUAAAAGUAUAGCCUAAACUUGUUUUGCAGGUCUACUCCUCUGGUGGGUCAAGUUGGGUGCUUGACAGUGGAUGUACAAAUCACAUGACCGGGGAGAAAGACAUGUUUCAUACAUUGCAACUAACUCAAGAAGCACAAGAAAUUGUGUUUGGAGAUAGUGGCAAGAGUAAGGUGAUUGGUAUUGGUAAAAUUCCUAUCUCUGACCAACAAUCACUUUCAAAUGUUUUAUUAGUAGAUUCCUUAAGCUAUAAUUUGUUGUCCGUUUCACAACUUUGUGGAAUGGGUUAUAAUUGCUUAUUUUCGGAUGUGGAUGUGAAGAUCCUUAGAAGGGAGGACUCCUCAGUUGCCUUUACCGGUCGCUUGAAGGGCAAGCUUUAUCUUGUUGAUUUCACAACAAGUAAAGUGACGCCUGAGACUUGUUUAGUGGCAAAAUCCGACAAGGGUUGGCUAUGGCAUCGCCGGCUAGCCCAUGUCGGUAUGAGGAAUUUGGCCAAACUUCAAAAGGAUAAUCACAUCAUUGGACUAACAAAUGUUGUAUUUGAGAAAGAUAGGGUUUGUGGCGCAUGCCAAGCAGGAAAGCAACAUGGAGUCCCACAUCAAUCAAAGAAUGUGGUCACAACAAAGAGGCCAUUGGAGCUUCUCCACAUGGACCUCUUCGGACCUGUGGCCUACAUUAGCAUUGGUGGUAGUAAGUAUGGUUUAGUUAUUGUUGAUGAUUUUUCUCGAUUCACUUGGGUUUUCUUUUUGAGUGACAAAGGUGAAACUCAAGAAAUUUUAAAGAAAUUCAUGAGGAGAGCUCAAAAUGAAUUUGAGCUCGAUCAAAAUCAAGAAAGUGAGAAGCGAUAAUGGGACGGAAUUCAAGAACACAGGUGUCGAAGAAUUCUUAGGAGAAGAGGAAUCAAACAUGAGUUCUCGGUGCCUUACACUCCACAACAAAAUGGUGUUGUGGAAAGAAAGAACCGGACUCUAAUUGAAGCUGCAAGAACCAUGUUGGAUGAAUACAAGACACCUGACAACUUCUGGGCAGAGGCGGUCAACACCGCCUGUCAUGCAAUCAACCGCCUCUAUCUUCAUAAGAUCUACAAAAAGACUGCUUAUGAGCUUCUCACUGGUAACAAACCUAAAGUUGAUUAUUUUAGAGUAUUCGGUUGUAAAUGUUUUAUUCUUAACAAGAAAGUCAAGAGCUCAAAGUUUGCUCCUAGAGUGGACGAGGGUUUCUUGCUUGGUUAUGCAUCAAAUGCGCAUGGAUAUCGUGUUUUCAACAAUUCCACCGGUCUGGUUGAAAUAGCGAUAGACGUGACAUUUGAUGAGUCUAAUGGCUCGCAAGGGCAUGUUUCUAAUGACACUGCAGGAAAUGAAGAACUACCUUGUGAGGCCAUAAAGAAACUUGCCAUAGGUGAGGUGAGACCUCAAGAAAGGGAUGAUGAAGAAGGAACCUUGUGGAUGACCAAUGAGGUAGUUGAUGUGGGUGCAAGGGUGGUGAGUGACAAUGUCUCCACCCAAGCAAACCCAUCAACCUCAAGUCAUCCAAACCACGAAGAAAAUCAUCAAAGGAUGCCAACAGUGGUAGAAGAUGAACAAGAAAAUAUUGAUGGUGAAGUGCCUCUUGAUCAAGUAACUGAUGAGGAAGAGCAAAUACAAAGACAUCCAUCAGUGCCUCAUCCAAGAGUCCAUCAUACAAUUCAAAGGGAUCAUCUGGUGGACAACAUCCUGGGUAGCAUUAGGAGAGGGGUAACGACUCGAUCUCGUUUAGCUAAUUUUUGUGAAUUUUACUCGUUUGUUUCCUCUCUUGAGCCACUUAAGGUUGAAGAAGCAUUGGGUGAUCCGGAUUGGAUAAUUGCCAUGCAAGAGGAGUUGAACAACUUCACUAGGAAUGAAGUCUGGUCCUUAGUCCAAAGACCCAAACAAAAUGUGAUUGGGACUAAAUGGGUCUUUAGGAACAAGCAAGAUGAAAAUGGCGUUGUUACAAGAAACAAGGCAAGGUUGGUUGCCCAAGGCUAUACUCAAGUGGAAGGACUUGAUUUUGGUGAAACAUAUGCGCCGGUAGCAAGGUUAGAAUCAAUUAGAAUAUUAAUUGCCUAUGCUACUAACCAUGAUUUCAAGCUAUAUCAAAUGGAUGUCAAGAGCGCUUUUCUAAAUGGACCACUACAAGAAAGAGUAUAUGUGGAGCAACCACCGGGCUUCGAAGACCCAAAGAAGCCAAAUCAUGUUUAUCUUCUUCACAAGGCACUCUACGGGCUUAAACAAGCCCCUAGAGCUUGGUAUGACUGUCUUAAAGACUUUUUAAUUAAAAAUGGGUUUACAAUAGGAAAAGCUGACUCUACUUUGUUUACUCGAAAAGUUGAUAAUGAAUUAUUUGUGUGCCAAAUAUAUGUUGAUGACAUUAUAUUUGGUAGUACUAAUGAAAAAUUUUGUGAAGAGUUUAGCAAAGUAAUGACGAACAAGUUUGAGAUGUCUAUGAUGGGCGAGCUUAAAUACUUCCUGGGAUUUCAAGUCAAACAACUCAAGGAAGGUACCUUUCUAUGCCAAACUAAAUAUACUCAAGAUAUGCUCAAGAAGUUUGGCAUGGAAAAAGCAAAGCACGCCAAGACUCCAAUGUCAUCAAAUGGACAUCUCGACCUAAAUGAGGAAGGUAAACCUGUAGAUAAAAAAUUAUAUAGAUCAAUGAUAGGAUCACUGCUUUACUUAUGUGCAUCUAGGCCUGAUAUAAUGUUGAGUGUUUGUAUGUGUGCACGUUUUCAAGCAAAUCCUAAAGACUGCCAUCUUGUAGCCGUUAAGAGAAUUCUAAGAUACUUAGUCCACACCCAAAACCUAGGAUUAUGGUAUCCUAAAGGCUCCUUUUUCGAUUUGCUUGGCUAUUCUGACUCAGAUUAUGCCGGUUGCAAAGUAGAUCGAAAAAGCACUACUGGGACUUGCCAAUUCCUUGGGCGGUCCUUAGUGUCAUGGAGUUCCAAGAAACAAAAUUGUGUUGCACUCUCCACUGCAGAAGCUGAAUACAUAGCAGCUGGGGCAUGUUGUGCACAGUUGCUAUGGAUGAAGCAAACCCUUAGAGAUUUUGGUUGUGAGUUUAACAAAAUUCCACUUUUGUGUGACAAUGAGAGUGCCAUAAAACUUGCAAACAAUCCGGUGCAACACUCUAGAACUAAACAUAUUGACAUCA